rnacentral:misc_RNA from 1 species
AUCCAUCAACUCGCUGUAAGGGUCUGAAGAUGCGCUGCAGGGCUCCAAUACUCCCCAAGCAACCACAGCUUCGAGCUGCCCGCCCUUCCCGCUCGCCUCGACUCGCUCCAGUUCCUCCUCCCGAUCUUCAUCAGUUGGACGAACAGGCUCGCGACCGGCAGCUUGCGGCGGACUCGAAGCUGGCGAAAAGAGUUUGCAGUGGUGUGUUUAUUCGGAGCAGCUGCUCACGCAACCGACGCAGGAUCGGCCGGCCCGCUUCGACCUCGACGCACCUUCCUUCUCCCUCGACCUGCCCCUCGCUCGCGCCUCGCCCGGGGCUUUGCGUGCGAACGUGGCCACGUUGCUACUGUAUGAAGCUUCGACCUACUAUUGAGGUGCUCACAGAAACCGAGUGGGUACUUUCGGACCUGGCUCGGUUGUGCUGGUGUUCGCUCCUCUUGCCGCACCGGACAGACAUGCGAUGCGGUCCUCCCGCCUUCUCGCACCCCGUUGCCGUUUGAGGCGUACUCAAGCUCGCCCUGCCCGCAGCACGUACAAGCUCAUCCGCCGAGCGCUUCUUGGAGGUUCCCGUUUGCAGUCCACUUGACGAAGCAGACGACGCAGGCGACCCCGGACCACAACAAGCAGUCGUCGCUCGACAAGGAAUGGACGGCUCGUUCUUCGACUCGAACGGGAUGGGAUCUGAUGCUCGCGACAGGUGUAUCCGGGACGCGAAGGGCCUCGGCAAGGACGGUUACGACCAGACUAGCUUCAACAAGGACAGCAAGAACCGCAACGAGGCGUUCGAGUGUCGCUUUUCUUCUCGCUUUACUCUCGCUGACCAUCCCUCAUCCUCGCACAGGCCUCGCUCAGCGCGGCUACGACGCCUCGGGCGAGUACGUCAUGUCGACGUCACAAGCGGGAGCUAUCGACGCGAAAAGCGGGAGUUAUCGCGCAACAUUCGGGUCGAACCUUUCCUCGACAGUCGUCUCUCCUCACUGCUUUCGCUUCUCCCUUCCUCCCCCUCUUCUCACAUGUGCCGCCCGUUCCAACCGCGGUGCGGGAUCCUCCUUUCUCUCCGUCGUAGCUCUUUGUCGUGCAUUGUUCGUUGGAACGCAGCUUUCGCUCCUCGUCUGGC